rnacentral:lncRNA from 1 species
UUAAACAGUGCAGUAGUUUUUGAAAACCGCUGUUAUACCUUCCUUUUUCAAUUGUUUUUCUUUUAAAACGCAGCAAACUUUCCUUUUAAACCUAAGUAUGCUAUCAACCUAUUUUUUAGGGUUUCAUCUAGCAGGUGCCGCCAACGAGGGGAGCAUUUGAGUCAUAAAAUCAAUUUACAGCCUUAAAAUCUCUCCCCUGUUUUCAAUUUCAACGAAACAAAGAAGAUCCAUGGUGAAUUUAUAAAGUAAGAUCUCUUCUCUCGCUUUACCUUUUAUUUUAAAAUACAAUAUUGAAAGAUUGAAUAGGAAAAUGAAACGAUUCAAUCGGAAGAAAAAAAAAACUAAAAGCCAAUAAAAAAAACUGAAAAUCACAUCUAUAAAUCUACUCUCGAAAUACUUUUUCCAGUAUUUAGUGUGCGUAUGUAGGUGUAUAUUCUCUAUGCAUAAUCUCUUUUUUUUUCUUUUUUUCUUUAUGCGAAGGGAUUUUGUGGUGAAAUGAAGAAAGAAAAAUGAAUUGAAACACUGGAAAAUGCAAUCUAAAAUUACCUUAGUUUUUCAUUGUUUUUUCCUCUUUUUUUAAUAUUUCGUGAUCCCCUUUUACAUCAUUCCUCUGGCUUUUUAUAGCCGAAUAAAGAGAAAUAAAUAAAAAGUAAAUAAAAAAGAAAAUGCAAUGGCCUUUGCUGUCAAUUGCUGUAGUUGUUAAUCCGUUGCAGGUGUGCAUGGCGCGGUGCUGCUGACAUGGCGAGGCCACUCGUGAGGCGUGAUGCGAAGGCUUCCAAAAGCUUCACUGUUUGGGGCUGCUGUGGUGCUUGCAGCGCAUGGGAAUGGUAGCUUGGUGGCCUAGGGUUUCCACUUUCUAAAAAUAUUUAAUGGGCUAUGUUUUUAGGUUAGGUUAUUGGGGUAUGUAAUGGGUUAGGAUUAGGGUUAAUUUAGGUUUGGACCUUAUUGUAAAAUGAGUUUAAAAUUUGGGCUUCAAUUGUAUGUGGGCUGAAUGUAAAUUUGGACUAUGGACAUUUAUUGGAUUUUUAUUUUGCGAUUUUUGGUUUUUUAAUUUCUGAUUUUUUUUUAAAUUUUAACGGGCCCGGGCGAAAUGGGCCUAUUACAAUAGAGAUACAAUCUUUCCAUCCGACCCAUAUGCAAUCUGAAAAACCAACAGAUUCAAUGCGAUGA